UACGGUCACAUUACAUUGAAACACCAGUUCCUGUAUGAUCACCGAAGUUAAGCAACAUCGAGCCUGGUCAAUACCUAGGUGGGUGACUACUUGAGAAUACCAGGUGCUGUAAG